UUACACCGUCCUGUAUCAUCCUCUCGCGAGACUUAAUCGAGAAGCGCAAAAUAGGAGUUCAAGGAGCGGCAAUGUUUAGAGAUACUGGUGAAAUGUAACGAAAUGCACAACUUACGCCCAAGAUUGACUCUAAUUCUUCACAUAAACCAUGUUCCCUUUCCCAAAAAUCUUGGUUUCGCUAGGAGUGCAGUAAAGGGAAUGUUGGAAGAAGUGUAGAUAUCAUGGCCACAGGCCAGUGGGGUAAGUGGCGAGUGGUUCCUUGUAAUAUGUAUUUAAACACACAAAUAUUGUUUAAUAAUUUAGUGCAUGUGAUGUGUUGUAUAAUAUUUCAAUAUUGAAAUAGAAGAAACGAUUUGAAUAUGUGUAAAAGGUUUUUGGCAUACUGUGAUUCAGUCUAGUCCAUGAAGAUCAAACGUACAUACACAGUGAAAUAUUUUCAGGUUUUACAUGUUAAAAUUUAGUAAGCAGAAGACUUAUAAACAAAUAUUUAUUAUCAGUUACUGUUAAAUUUGCAUUGAAUGUUUUGACAUGGUGUAAAUUUUGGAAUUAUACUCUUAAAUAAAGCCUUCAUUGCAUUGUUAUCUUCUAGCUAGAACCUUGAAGCCUGGCAAGGAUUAUGAGACUGGAAACUCCCAUUGAGACUACCAAAUGAAGAGAAAGUUUCAGACUGUUUAACUCGGACUAAGGGAAAAGAAGCAAAUUACAACAAGGAGAAUAUUGCAGAGGAAGGUAAGCUAGUGAAAAGUCGAGUGAAGAAAAAGCAAACAAGGCUUCACGAUCUGCAACUAGGCCACUGGCGAUGAAGAAGAAAAAUGUACAGCUAAAGAAGAUACAUCAGUGAUCAACUAAAGCUGGGCGACUUAUAUUGGAUUGACGAGGUGCAGGGGGGAUAUUAAUUUGGGUCUUUUUAUCCUUCUGUUUGUCAAUAUGUCUGUCUGUAACACUUCGUUCUCUUAACAUUUCCAAAAAGCCAUCAGAUAUUGCAAUGACAUUUUAUAUUAUAACUCAUUUUG